GGGGGCGGCGGCGACUCUGGACGCGAGCCGGGCCCUUCCUGUGGAUCGCCCCAGCUGCGGCGGGCGUCGCUCGCC
ensembl:miRNA